CCUGAGAAGUUCACCAAGGGGCUUAGCUGGAUGAGAACAAGAAGAACUCUAUAGAUUUUCAAGGUGCUAAGAAGAAAGCUUCUAGACGUAUUUCAAAUGUCAAGUUUCUGAGACUUCAAUAAGAAAGUUGCAGUGGAAGGAAAUUUGGGCCAAAGGACUGGUGUCCCGUUUAUGAACUUCAGACGGAGUGACUUGGGAAAUUAUUCUAACCUCGCUGAGCCUCAGCUUACUCAUCUGAGAAAUGGAGAAGAGGGCCCCAGCCCAUUUUAGUCACAGGGGCUGUGGCUGCCACCAAGUGACAUCAUGAAAUGGAAAGGUUACUCAUUUGCAGACACUCGCCUCAGCCCUAUAGGCUGACUACAAGCUGCAGCGAACAAUCGUUGUGGAAAACAGCAAGUUCAGGCUGUUUGGAUGAAUAAGUGGGAGGUCAGCCCUGUGGGGAAAUGCAGCAUCUCCACACACAACUCCAGUGCCAGGUAGACAGAGUCCGAGGAUCCUGUCAACUGAUAGAACAACUGCAGUUCAACCGAUAGCUGACAAUGCAUCAAUCUGUCCGAGCCUCCGAGAUUCACCAUGCCUGGAAACUAUAUAUUGAUUAAAAUGAAAUAUGCACGUCAUUAGUUAGAUCCCGAGAAUCUGUAAUGAUCUGCUUGUCUCUUCCCUCUCCCCGCCUCUAACAUUGUUCCUGCGACCUGGGUCAGCUGCCGGGAAACCCGGACUCUGAUGUUACCACCUCCCCCCGUGCAGGGCACCGUGCUCUUAUUUAUUACUUUCAUUUCAUGCAUCGGCUGUUACUCCUCCCUUGUGCUCACCUCUGCUGUGGUCUUGGCUCUAGUCCAGACUUGGCUCUGGACCCAGCCUCUCUCAUCUGCCUUUUCCAGAAUCAGAUCUAUGGAUGUGGGGCCAGCUGGGGGUCAGCUGCGCUGAGGGAGAGGACGAGAGACCCUAGGAUACCCCACAUCCACGCCACCCUUCUUCGUAGACAGGGUUUCGGCCAGCCUGAGCCCUGUAAUGAAGCCGAUUGUCCAGAUCCUUCCAGAAGAAAUGCUCAUAAGGAAAUGUCUGGAAAAACCUCAAGCAAAUAAAACUCCAUCACUCCUCAGGUGCUGGGCUCUGCUGGCCUCAGAUCUGAAACCAUCCCCCUUCAAGGUGGGGACCUGUGAUUUGUACUUGACUCUUCAGGUUGUGGAAGGCUGGCCAAGCAGGCCCACUGAUUCCAGGGUCUCUCCUGGAUUUUCAAACUCCAGUCCCCUCUAGCAGCACAGAGGAAAGAGGCCUUCCCUCACCAUGCCUGCUUCUCCCUCGUGGUGCCCAUAACCUGCCAUUUUUUCUUCUAUGAGGAGCAGUAAAGAGAUUAAUCUCAGGAGUUCCCGUCACGGCUCAGUGAUUAACGAAUCCGACUAGGAACCAUGAGGUUGCAGGUUUGAUCCCUGGCCUUGCUCAGUGGGUUAAGGAUCCAGUGUUGCCAUGAGCUGUGGUGUAGGUUGCAGAGGCGUCUCGGAUCUGGUAUCGCUGUGGUGUAGGCCAGUGGCUACAGCUCUGAUUCGACCCCUAGCCUGGGAACCUCCACAUGCAUCAGGAGCAGCCUAAGAAAUGGCAAAAAUACAAAAAAAAAAAAAAAGAUGAAUCUCAGCUCUACUGGCUGUUCACUGCAUGCCUUUGGUAAGUUACUGCACCUUCUUGUGCCCCGUUUCCUCAUCCA
rnacentral:lncRNA from 1 species